GUGCCUACGGGGGGCAGCAGUAGGGAAUUUUCGUCAAUGGGCGCAAGCCUGAACGAGCAAUGCCGCGUGAACGAGGAAGGUCUUCGGAUCGUAAAGUUCUGUUGAAGGUCAAAAAGAGCGGAGAGAGGAAAUGGUCUCCGAUUGAUAUUACCCUUCGAGGAAGUCACGGCUAACUACGUGCCAGCAGCCGCGGUAAUACGUAGGUUGCUAGCGUUAUCCUGAUUUAUUGGGCGUAAAGGGAACGCAGGCGGUCUUUUAAGUCU
rnacentral:rRNA from 1 species